ensembl:lncRNA
AAAUGUUAAAAAUGAGAAAAAUACAAGCAACAGUGUCCAAAAGAAUAGGAAUCUAAUGGUGUUUGAAUGGUUUUUCUAAGUUGAACGGUUUUGAAGGAGUAGGCUUUCAAAAAACGUACGGAAUAGAUAAAAUAUAAUAACUAGAAAGUGCAUUUUCUGAAGAAACUGCAGUGUGAAUGCUUGAAUCUGAAUGUAUGCACUGAAAUGAAUUAAUUGCUGAAUUUUGAGUUAAAAAUAUUGAAUGAGAUUAAAAAAAAACAAAAAAAAAAAACGAAUUUAACCUGAAAACAAAGGUGCUGAACUGCUAAAAGCUGAAGGUUACACAGAAGAAGGAGUUGGAAAAAAACUGAAAAUGUUUUAAAUGUAAAUUAGAAAACCCUAAGAAAUGAGAAAAGAACAUUUAGAGUCAGAAAACAUCUGAAUGAAUAUUAAAAGGUCAUAUUCUUUGAAUCACUGAAUGACUCAAAUGUGAUCCCUCCACUUUGAUCCACACAGUUUAAAAAGUUUAAAUGCCUGAGCUUUGAAAGAUACGGUGUUGGAAAGAGAACAAUAAUGGCGACAAUUUGAGGGUAAAAUGAUGGCUGUAACACUGUGGACACAGCAGCAGUUGAAAGAGAAGUGCUUAAGAUGAAUCUUGGUACAGUGGCAGAGAGAGAGCUCGUUAAGCAGGCAGGUGUGAGCCUGGUUGCUAUAGUGACCGCACCCAAUGGCUCCAUACACACGUACACAGACAUGCGCCUCACUUUUGCUGCUUAAAAUGAACAGAAAAGUCAGGCCGAAACAAAUCGUUCCCAAAUGAAAAGUAAAAGUCGUAUUGACAAAAUUCUUU